rnacentral:misc_RNA from 1 species
CGUGCAGCGACGGCAUCUCAACCGCGCCUCUUCAGUGCUUGGCUCCAGUGCUCAUGCGCUGUGCCAAAGUCGGUUCUCCUGUGUUGUAUUCCCAUUGAGAUGGCAUUCUGUCGGCUAACUUGUCCCUUCUCCGCCUUGCGCUGCUGCUCCUUAUGGAAAUGCGGUGCGGGGUGGACCUCAAAGCGCCCGUCGUGUCUCGCAAUCCGUGCACUCCUUCGGGUGAUUGUGUUGGCGAUCCACGACGACGCGCUCGAUCUCUUGGAUGCGGAACAUUGAGCGGGUCCCUCAACGGCCACCCCAAAAGAGCGUUCUACGCUUAGUGCGAACGACUGUCGUCCCGGUCUUGCUCGGGAGCCCUUGCGGCUCAAGGUCAUGUCGGGCCGACGUCGGUGAGGAAUGCUACCUGGUUGAUCCUGCCAGUA